rnacentral:tRNA from 1 species
GGCGGGGUAGCUCAGCUGGUAGAGCAGAGGACUGAAAAUCCUUGUGUCGGCGGUUCAAUUCCGUCCCUCGCCA